AUUAAAGAAGAGGAGAAGAGUUAGAACUAUUGGAAGAUGACGAGGUCUACGGUGAAGAAGAUGAGAAAAGAAUAAUUAAAAAAUAAAAUAAAAUAAUUAAAAAAAAUAAAAAAAUGAGAGCUUGCCACAUUAUCAUUUGAUAUUGGGAAUUCAUAUAAGAGUAUAGAUUUUUAUAUUUAAUUAAAGAAGAGGAGAAGAGUUAGAACUAUUAGA
rnacentral:lncRNA from 1 species